rnacentral:rRNA from 1 species
UGAUCCAGGCCUAUGUAAAGUUCCUUUGAAGAGUCGAGUUGUUUGGGAAUGCAGCUCUAAGUGGGUGGUAAAUUCCAUCUAAAGCUAAAUAUUGGCGAGAGACCGAUAGCGAACAAGUACAGUGAUGGAAAGAUGAAAAGAACUUUGAAAAGAGAGUGAAAAAGUACGUGAAAUUGUUGAAAGGGAAGGGCUUGAGAUCAGACUUGGUAUUUUGUAUGUUACUUCUUCGGGGGUGGCCUCUACAGUUUAUCGGGCCAGCAUCAGUUUGGACGGUAGGAGAAUUGCGUUGGAAUGUGGCACGGCUUCGCUUUUUUUAUAGCCUUCGUCGAUACUGCCAGCCU